rnacentral:rRNA from 1 species
CGCAUCUGUGCAUGCAGCAUAUCAAUAAGCGGAGGAAAAGAAACUAACAAGGAUUCCCUUAGUAACGGCGAGUGAAGCGGGAAGAGCUCAAAUUUGAAAUCUUCAAGGUUUUACCUUGACGAAUUGUAGUUUAAAGAAGUGUUUUCUGUUGAAGUUUUGGUAAAAGUUCUUUGGAAUAGGACAUCAUAGAGGGUGAGAAUCCCGUAUUUGACCAUUAUUUUCAGCUGCGUGAUACACUUUCAAAGAGUCGGAUUGUUUGGGAAUGCAGUCCAAAAUGGGUGGUAAAUUUCAUCUAAAGCUAAAUAUUGGCGAGAGACCGAUAGCGAACAAGUACCGUGAGGGAAAGAUGAAAAGAACUUUGAAAAGAGAGUUAAACAGUACGUGAAAUUGUCAAAAGGGAAGCGUCUGACACCAGUGUUGUUUUCUCGAAAAUCAAUUAAAAAGAGUUAGAUUUUGUUGUGUAUUGACCUUAACAGCUUGCAUUUCAAUUUUCUUGCUUUUUUUAAUGCACUUUUCGUUUAACAAGUCAACAUCAGUUUCUUUUGUUGUAAAAAGGUCAUUGGAAGGUGGCUUUCUUUUCGGAGAAAGUGUUUAUAGCCUUUGACUCCUGCAAUCGGAGAGACUGAGGUCUGCAGCGUAGAUCCUUCGGGGUUAGAUACAUUUGUGCUAAGUUAUAGCUUUUUAUAGACAACUUGUUGACUAUGAUUAGUCUUGUAGCUUACUCGCUUAUGCUAUUUUACCUACGCUUAGGAUGUUGACACACGCGCGUGCUCG